rnacentral:rRNA from 1 species
GAUGAACGCUGGCGGCGUGCCUAAUACAUGCAAGUAGAACGCUGAAGCUUGGUGCUUGCACCGAGCGGAUGAGUUGCGAACGGGUGAGUAACGCGUAGGUAACCUGCCUCUUAGCGGGGGAUAACUAUUGGAAACGAUAGCUAAUACCGCAUAAAAGUUGACAUUGCAUGAUGUUGAUUUGAAAGAUGCAAUUGCAUCACUAAGAGAUGGACCUGCGUUGUAUUAGCUAGUUGGUGAAGUAACGGCUCACCAAGGCGACGAUACAUAGCCGACCUGAGAGGGUGAUCGGCCACACUGGGACUGAGACACGGCCCAGACUCCUACGGGAGGCAGCAGUAGGGAAUCUUCGGCAAUGGGGGCAACCCUGACCGAGCAACGCCGCGUGAGUGAAGAAGGUUUUCGGAUCGUAAAGCUCUGUUGUAAGAGAAGAACGAGUGUGAGAGGGAAAGUUCACA